rnacentral:tRNA from 1 species
GGGACGUUAGUAAAAUAAUUACAUGGCCUUGUCAAGACCAAAUCACAAGUGAAACCCCUGUACGUCCCA